UACAGGGGGGGCAAGCGUUGUUCGGAAUUACUGGGCGUAAAGGGCUCGUAGGCGGCCAACUAAGUCACACGUGAAAUCCCCAGGCUUAACCUGGGAACUGCGUGUGAUACUGGAUGGCUUGAAUUCGGGAGAGGGAUGCAGAAUUCCAGGUGUAGCGGUGAAAUGCGUAGAUAUCUGGAGGAAUACCGGUGGCGAAGGCGGCAUCCUGGACCGACAUUGACGCUGAACGGCGAAAGCUAGGGGAGCAAACGGG
rnacentral:rRNA from 1 species